GCAUCGGUGGUUCAGUGGUAGAAUACUCGCCUGCCACGCGGGUGGCCCGGGUUCGAUUCCCGGCCGACGCA
rnacentral:tRNA from 1 species